AGCUACCACUGUUGUCCCUGUAGAUGACCCCAAGAGAGGAACGGCCUCUGCCUCUGGGGACUUCUCUAGCAGAGAGCCUGCAGUUUACAUCCCGCAUUCCCAGGAACCUACCGGGCUCUCUGUGCCUAUCCAGACCCUCCUCCCAGAGUCCAUGAUGCAGAGUCUGCUGCCAGGCUCGGGAUUCCAGAAGCAGCUCCUGGCAGCCCAAGGGCAGCUUCAGAGCAGCACUGCCCAGCUUCAGGUUGAGCUGCUGCAGAGCCAGACCAAGCUGUCAGAGCUGGAGGCCCAGGUGCGGAAGUUGGAGCUGGAGCGUAGCCAGCACAGGAUGCUGCUGGAGAGUUUGCAGCAGCGGCACCAGGCAGACCUGGAGCUCAUUGAGGACGCGCACAGAAGCCAUGUCAAGGUGCUAGAAACAUCCUACCAGCAGCGGGAGGAGCAGCUCCGCAGAGAGAAGGAGGUGCUGUCCGCUCAGCAUGCAUCGUACUGCCAGGAAGCUGAGCGGGCCAGGACUGAGCUCGUAGCCCAGCACCAGCGGCAGAUGGCCAUGGCUGAGCAGGAGAAGGACCAGGAGGUUGCACGGCUUCGGGAGCUUCAGCAGGCGUCCAUCCUAGAGAUGCGCAAGGACCACGAGCACCAGCUACAGCGGCUGAAAAUGCUGAAGGACCAAGAGAUCGAUGCUGUCACCAGUGCUACCUCCCAUACUCGGUCCCUGAACGGCAUCAUCGAGCAGAUGGAGAAGUUUUCCAGCAGCUUGAACACGCUGUCCUCCCGUGUGGAGGCCUCCCACGUCACCACCUCACAGGAACGAGAGUUGGGGAUUCGGCAGCAAGAUGAGCAGUUGCGAGCUCUGCAGGAGAGGCUGGGCCGGCAGCAACGAGACAUGGAGGAAGAGCGGAGCAGGCUACAGGAGGUCAUCGGGAAGAUGGAAGUCCGCCUGAGUGAGCAGAGCCGGCUCCUGGAGCAGGAACGCUGGCGGGUGGCUGCUGAGAAGUCCAAGGCAGAGUCAGCCCAACGCACUCUGGAGGAGCAGAGGAAGAUCAUGGUCCAGCAGGUUGCCAUGGAGAGGGAGGAGCUGGAGAGAGCCAAGAGCGCCUUGCUGGAGGAGCAGAAGUCAGUCAUGAAUAAGUGUGGGGAGGAGCGGCGGCGCCUGGCAGCAGAGUGGGCUGAGUUUUUCACACAGCAGAAGCUGAGUAAGGAGCGGGCAGAGCGCGAGGCUGAGAGGGCGAUGCACGCAGACACCCAGCGAGAGAGCACCAUCAUCAGCCUGACCAAGGAGCAGGCAGAGCUGACAGUUAGGGCCUGUGAGCUCCGGGCCAAGGAGGAAAAGCUGAUUGCUGAGAGGGAGGCUUUGGAGAGAGAGCGCCAAGAGCUCCGACUAGAGAAGGACAGGUUGCACAAAGCCAGCCUGCGCCUCCAGGCCCGCGCCCAGGAGGUGGAACACAUGAGUAAGGUAGCCUCCAAGAAGUAUGAGGAGGGUGAGCAGGCCUUGCAGGAGGCCCGGCAGAUGCAGACUGAGCAGCAGGGCCGGCUGCAGGUGGUCCAGAGGCAGCAGGAGUGGCUGCGGCAGCAGGAGCAGCGUGUGCAUCAGGAGCACCUGAGCCUGGCCCAGCAGCGGCUGCAGCUGGACCGCGUGCGGCAGGAAGCACCUUCCAGCCUUCCAGGGCUGCCCCCCAGAGCCCAGGGCCCAGCAGCCUCCAGCCUGGAUGCUGUCCAGGCCCCUGCUUCCACUGCUCCUCAGCGUAGCCAGACGGCUGCCGUGCAGAUGCCCACACACCUUCUUGCCAAGCUGCUGCUGCUGAAGCACACAGCAGAGGAGGACCAUGACUUCUUGGAGAAUGAACAGUUCUUCCUGGAGACUCUGAAGAAAGCGCCUUACAAUAUGGCUUACCACUCUGCCUGAAAAUGCCCAUUGCCUCCUCGGCGAGCAUCUGGCCCUGCAGCUCUCUCCCACGGCCGACCAGCUCCCAUGUCCAUGAAAGGCUCCUCAGAACGUACUGCACUACCCAGGGCCUGAUUACAAGUUCUUGUAUGGACA
rnacentral:lncRNA from 1 species